rnacentral:ncRNA from 1 species
UUGAGCUGUACGAGAUGAAAGUCUCAUAUACAGUUCUCGGAGGGGGGAUCGCGCCUAUCUCAAU